ensembl:snRNA LOC120093503 U4 spliceosomal RNA
CCCUCUUGGCAGUAUCAUCGUAGCCAAUGAGGUUUAUCCGAGGCACGAUUAUUGCUAAUUGAAAACUUUCCCCAAUAGAAUACUGAGGUGGAGGAAAGUCUCUACCUGGAGUGUCCAAGUAGUUUGUUCUG